rnacentral:rRNA from 1 species
GAUGAACGCUGGCGGCGUGCCUAAUACAUGCAAGUCGAGCGAACAGAUAAGGAGCUUGCUCCUUUGAAGUUAGCGGCGGACGGGUGAGUAACACGUGGGUAACCUACCUAUAAGACUGGGAUAACUUCGGGAAACCGGAGCUAAUACCGGAUAACAUUUAGAACCGCAUGGUUCUAAAGUGAAAGAUGGUUUUGCUAUCACUUAUAGAUGGACCCGCGCCGUAUUAGCUAGUUGGUAAGGUAACGGCUUACCAAGGCGACGAUACGUAGCCGACCUGAGAGGGUGACCGGCCACACUGGAACUGAGACACGGUCCAGACUCCUACGGGAGGCAGCAGUAGGGAAUCUUCCGCAAUGGGCGAAGGCCUGACGGGGCAACGCCGCGUGAGUGAUGAAGGGUUUCGGCUCGUAAAACUCUGUUAUUAGGGAAGAACAAAUGUGUAAGUAACUGUGCACAUCUUGACGGUACCUAAUCAGAAAGCCACGGCUAACUACGUG